rnacentral:misc_RNA from 1 species
GCCGUAUACCAGGCGAACUUCGCUUUUUUGAAUUGUGAUUUAGCAUCAAAUAACGAAAUCCCGGCAGCUUUAUCUUUGGCGAUCAGGACUGCAAAUACUUCGCUGGCCUGUUUGCCAUAUUCGCCUUUUGUUUCCAGGUGGAACGGGGUGAACGUAACGAGAUCGGCGACUUUAUCAGAAACCGGACCUGUUACGGCUUUGUCAUAUUUGUAGCAGAAAGGGCAGGCGUAGCUAAAUACCUUAAUCAGCGUUUUAUCCGCAUUAGGAAUUGGUUUCUCCAGAACCAUAUAAUCUGUGCCCUCGGUAAAAGCCGAUGCCGCAAAAGGAGUGACCAAUGCCGCGGUUAAUACUACGC